rnacentral:lncRNA from 1 species
GCAGGAGGGUGUGAAGGUCAGAGGGUUGUGAUGCAAGGAAAAGGAAGAGAAUCAGAGGCCAAGGGAUCUCGAGAGCUGUGUCAGGAGAGGGCGCGAUGAGGGUCUGGAUGGAGAAGUGGAAGGUUAGGACAGGGAGCGACGAUGUGGGGUCGUGGGCUCUGAGAGGUGAGCUCAGCCUGGCUCUGGGUCAGGGGUUGGUGGGCGGAGCCUGUGGAUUCAGCACAGUGUGUCACAGUGAGAGUGAGGCAGAGACGACUGAACUGGGCCAGCAGCGGACAGGGGACUGAGGAGGGCACGCAGAGCAGAGGGGAUGACUGAGUCCAGCUGGAGGGGUCACAGUGGCAGCUGAGACUGUCACAUGUUCAGGGAAGACUGCUCCUUUGCCAUGUGUGCAGUAACUGCAAAGCAGCAGAGACCUGGAAAUGGGGCCCAGAGGAAGGAGGUUUGGUGAGUCGUCUCCAGCUGGUGGGAGAGUGUGGUGGAGGAGAGGGGGUCUGACAGAUCAGACAGUGAGGAAGGUGAGGCGAUGGCGCCCAGCAGGAGAGGCUUGUUCAGAGCGUCGGGGAACACACUGUGCCCAGAGGGACGGCAGGGAGCUAGGAGCGAGUGGGUGUGGAGAACCUGCCCCAAAGUGGGCCCAGGGCAUGAGGAAGCCCCUGCAGGAGGAAGAGCACAGCGCAGGCCAGGCGAGUGAGGAACUGGGAGAGAUGGGAUACGGCCAGCG